UACGGAGGGGCUAGCGUUGUUCGGAAUCACUGGGCGUAAAGCGCACGUAGGCGGACUUCUAAGUCAGGGGUGAAAUCCCAGGGCUCAACCCUGGAACUGCCCUUGAUACUGGAAGUCUCGAGUCCGGGAGAGGUGAGUGGAACUCCGAGUGUAGAGGUGAAAUUCGUAGAUAUUCGGAAGAACACCAGUGGCGAAGGCGGCUCACUGGCCCGGUACUGACGCUGAGGUGCGAAAGCGUGGGAGCAACAGGG
rnacentral:rRNA from 1 species